ACGCGUCCGCCCGUCGACAAAUCGGCGCCGACGGGUGAAAAAAAGCGUCGUCAUCUAUAGCCCCCCAAGUCGUCCUUAGACGCCCGUUUGCCGAGUCAUGCCUGUCGCUCCUAGGCCAACUCACGCGAUCGCACGCAGCCGUGCCCUGCGAUAGCGCCUACAGAUAAGAUGCGCCUACCUGUUACGUCAGCACAAACUGAAAGGGGGAAGUACAUUGAAACUGCCCCCAACGCGUUGUUUGCGCUGGACGCCUUCGUUACAACGGCUUAAUUCGCGCUCCAAAACGAACACUGGGCACGACACUUCGCGCUAAAAAAAAAACGGGCACUGAGCCACCGCACGACGCACUUCCGUAACGUAUAAAAUAUAACGCGUGACAGGUGGUUGUCGCUGCUCGCGUUUCAAUUUUUCGCCGAUAGAGUAUACCAUGCUGGAAUCCGCGCGGUUGACGGAAGUUUUGCUCGAAGCGAAAGGCAUCGUUGGCUGCGCCAGCGAUCUCUUUCCGUGUCGUCGCAAAUCGGCUCGGGGAAGCUACAAUGGCGAGGAGAGUAGUUCCCGAGGGCAUCACUUUGAUGCUGUUCGCAGGGGCGAGAUCGAGCGGCCAACGCAACGCAACGGCAACAACAAUGGCUGUCCUGGGAGUGUUCGCCCGACCCUGCGGUCCUUCGCCGCCGUUAACUCUCCGCACGUGGCAUGGGGACGUGGUCGGAGCGCAGGGCCUCUCGAUUGCCUCGUCAAAAUGCGCGGCCGGCGAGCAAGCAGAAGCAACAAGCGAUGGUCUGUAGAAACUCGACGAUCUCCUGAUGGCUGGUGCAUCGGCGGAGGCACCGAGACCACAAGCUAACAUGUAAAGGCCAUCUAUGCCCCAGGUCACUCAGGUUUUGUUACAAACAGAGCCAAGGGAGAAAGCCAUCCCUAAAACACCUCAACAUUCUGCAGACAUACUUCCCCACAUGUCUCCAGGGCACAGUGGUGAAACGAAUCAAGGGCAGCACCUCCCCCCCCCCCCCCUUUCCCUGGCGGUCCAGUUCAAAUCCUGUGAAGACAGCAGUACAACCUUGGAGUGGAACUGAGUGGAGUGGAAGUGAGUGGAGUGGAGAGGUGCACAUACCAUGCAGCGCAGCUGAAAGCGGAUGCACUGCCUCGACUAAGCAAGUACACGAUAAAAUAGGUGAUUGUUCACUGACCUCCAGUGGAGCAGAUAACACACCCUGCCCCAUCGUCCAGGCCCCUUCCACAAAAAGAGGAACCUGCAGUGACACGUCAACCGGCUGACACUCGGCACUAACUAACAUUCCUGCACCAACGGUACACUGUGACGUCAAAGCGAGAAUGCAGUCAUCACUACACACUUUGCUGUCUGGACUGUCACCAUCUGCAGUGGUUCUGGCAAACUGCAGGCUGAUGAUCGACACUUCUGGCAACUGCUGAUGGACAGCUGCAAGUUCUUAAAGAACAAGGACCACCGGACCCCGGGGGCAGUCGUACAUGGGCGUUGCCCCACCAGCGAACUCGACCAUGGCGAGCUGCUCGAGCGUCCAUCGCAG